rnacentral:lncRNA from 1 species
UUUUUUAUUUGUUGGCAUUGGCAAUGAUGACAAAAUGAUGACAAAAUGAAUAAUCUUAUGAUUAAUAUAAAAAGAGUAUAUACAUGGUAAGGCAACUUGGAUGGCAGUUAUGCAACCGUUGCAACCAAGAAUUUCGCUUAACAAGUGAUGAAGCAAAGAUUGAGAUAGUUUACAUUUGUAAUUACUUAUAUAUUUGGCGAUUAUGACAAAAUGAAAUAAAAUUACGGUUGAAUGUCAAUGAAGAUUUUACACAGUAAAUUAACUAGAAUGGCAAUUACAAAAUAAUUGCAACCAGUUAUUCCCCUUGACAAAGGAUGCAUCUAUAUCUAUAGCCCCUAUGAAAGCCCGUUCUCUUUGUCCACAUGGCAACAUUAGCUUAAUCUAAUUUUCUGUGGACCCUAUCUGUAAUCUUAAGAUACUUUGUUAAUUAGUGGGCGAGUCCCACCCAACCAAAUAACUUUUCCUCCCUACUCCGCUUCCCAUUUAGUUUUCUAUGCUUCUAAAUAACUUCAUCUUCCACCUUCGUCUCCGUCGCUCGCCCCUCUAGGUGCCGCUUAGACUCCUGUUCCCUCUUUGGACAGAAUGUUGGGACGAGCUCAUGGUCGGGCCUUCUUCCCAUCGCGCCCGUUCCCGUUAGUGACGCUUCGUUUCAUUCGACCCUAGGUGCCGCUCCGACUGCUGUUCCCUCUCUGGACGGAAUGUUUCCUCUCUAGCCGGAAUGUUGGGUCGAGUUCAUGGUCGAUCCUUCUUACGGUCGCGCCAUUUCCAUUGGCGACGCUUCGUUUCGGCUUAUUCAUCCCCUCCGGACACGAAAAUGGUUCGGAUUCAUUCUCCGUGGUCCUUUUUUGCUGCCUAUAUAAUAUGUCUCUGUAAAAAAAUUAUUUGCAGCAAAAAAAAAUCUAUUUCUUUGUCGGUGGGUAUCAACUAGGAUGGCAGUUACUAAAUAAAUGCAACCAGUGAUUACCCCCAGCAAGAUAUGCAGAAGCUAUUGAGAACAUAUAACUAUACGCGGUACCUUUUCUCAAAGACUUCUGAAAUGAGAAAAAAACUAUUGUUGACUAUUGAUAAUACUCAUUACAUGUCUGAGCCUAUAUUUAAAAUAGAAUUUUACUACCUGUUGAUCUUUUUUGAUUUACUCAAAUUUCUACUACUACUGCUUAUACUCCUUAUGAUAUAUAUUUUACCAUUAUUUUAGGUUUGCAUUUUUUUUCCCUUUUUUUUACUACAAGUUCUUGCCGAUAUUCCUCUAGCUUCUACUCAACCUUAGGUGCCGUUUCUUUAUUUUAUUUCACUUUAUAUCUUUUCGAUCAUUGUUAUGAUGUUUUUUUUACUUUUAUAAUCAAUUUUCAAAGUUGUUGCUUCACUUGAGGUAUAGUUUCUGAUUAGAUUCUAUUUUCUUUUGUCGACAUGUCAGUAUUUUCUUAUAUUUGGACUUUUGUACAAAAUACCUGUUAGUUUAACUAUCUUGCUUAAUUGUGGGUUUCUAUAGGAUUUGUGCCCGCCUAAUAUGUCAGCUUAACUUAUCUAUUGGCUUAAUUCAUAUUUUACAAAGUAAAUUAACUAGGAUGGACAUUGCGAAAUAAUUACAACCAGUGUGUCUCUAUAUUAGUUUCUUUGAUUGUUGUGUUGGUGUUUUCUUACUAUUCCUUUUUAAAAUUAUUUGACUAUAAGUUUUGCAACUUAUAUAUUAUAAUUAAUUUUGUAAGUUGCUGCUUCACUUGAUUUUCGAACUACUGCAAUCGCAUAUUUUUGGGACAGUAGGUUAGUAAUAUUUCUCAAUCAAGUUUUUCUAUUAGUCAUAUUUCAUUCUUUCUUUAAUUUUUUACUGACUAUUGCCUUUUCUUUCAGCCAACUCUUGCACUCUUUCCUGGACUUCUACAAGCACUCUUUCCUCGGCUUAUACAUCUCUCAAUUUUAUUAUAUCUAUGGUCACUCAUGCUGCUGUUGAAUUAACUGCUUAUACUUUUAUUUGUUUGUUACUCAAAAUUUUUUAGUUCUUUUAUGUAUUUACUAUUUUGUCCUUAACUGUAUAUCAUAUUUUAUACUUAAAAUAGUGGCUACUUUUAUUGUUUUGGUGAUAGCUUCCAUGCUGCGAGGUUUCUACUACUUUUUACUUCUAAAUCUUAUAUGAGUUUAUUAUAUUUUAUAUUCUGAAGUUUUUCAAGUAUGCCAGACUUUUUUUUGUUUAAAGUCGCUGAAUUACAACUACUUUUGUUUAAUUAUAGCUUCAAGU